rnacentral:rRNA from 1 species
UACGAAGGGGGCUAGCGUUGCUCGGAAUCACUGGGCGUAAAGGGCUCGUAGGCGGCCAACUAAGUCAGACGUGAAAUCCCUCGGCUUAACCGGGGAACUGCGUCUGAUACUGGAUGGCUUGAGUUUGGGAGAGGGAUGCGGAAUUCCAGGUGUAGCGGUGAAAUGCGUAGAUAUCUGGAGGAACACCGGUGGCGAAGGCGGCAUCCUGGACCAACACUGACGCUGAGGAG